GGCUUCUCAGUGCCUUUAGAAAGGAGCACACGACUUCCUGGACCUUCAGCCUCCCUCUGCGGCUUGCCUGCCUCUUUCCUCCGUUGAUGGGAGCGUGUGUCCCUCCCUCUCUUCGACAGGGCUCCUUUGCCUAGGAUGCUGGAGCUGGCUCAGGCGCAGCACUCUUAGCUUCAGUAUUUUAUGUCUAGGUCCACUGAUCACACUCCCCAGGUCCCCAGGUCCCCGGGUGCCUGCCUCACCUCUUUCCUCAGUCUGGAAAGCAGAAGGAUGUGUGCCUUGGUGUCUCUGCUACUCCUGGCUUAUAGCUGGCUGCUGUAGGUACAGGAGCCUUAGUUUGAGCAAGAAAAAGGAGUGGAGAGAGCUCAGGAGAUCAGCAUUGGACUGUAGGGCAUGUUGCACAUGGAGAAGCCGGAGGGAGAACCCACCAGCUGUGUCCUGGAAACCCACACAGCCAAGGUGGAGGCUGCAACCUUGGAGCUGUAAGAAGGGACGGGCCACCCUUAGGAUGAAGACUCGAUCGAUCAAAAGCAAUGCGUGUCCAAGGAGGAAGGCCGGAAGAGGAGGUCCCAGAGCGCUGAACUCCUGCAGACCGACCUUAGUGUGCAAACUCUGCUCCCGCUCCGCCACUCAAGGACAGUACCUGCCUUGGUCACCUUGGGACCAGCUGUCCGCAUCUGAGAGCUUUAACCUCCCUCCCCUUUGCUGACACUAAGGCAGAUGAAGCCAAGGUCUACCCCACCCACCGAGUGGCUUACUGUAGUGAGAAUUUUGGUUUCUUUUAAACCCCAGUUAUGUUCUGUGAAUAUGUUUUUGAUUUAUUCCCAGGUGUGGGGUAUGAGGCUGCUUCAGUGUGUCCACAGCCAUCAACUAUGAUUGUCUUGGGCUCUAGGAGGAGUGUGAUUUCUGCCAGCUGCAGAGAGUUUAAUUCUGGGGACUCCGGAGAGGGAAUAAAUGCUAGAGCCAUGACGAGAGGCAUAAGAGGGACCCUGGAGGAGGAGGAGGAGGAGGAAGAGGAGGAGGAGGAGGAGGAAGAGGAGGAGGAGGAGGCUGCUCCUGGUGUUGUUUUUGAGGUUUGUCACGUGGCUGUGAGCAGAAGUGUUGCGCGCGCUCAACUGGCCAGGAAGAACGACGCUGCUACAGGAUCAUAUGACUUAGCUGCAGUCCCUGGCGCCUUUGGGACUGCCGCCACACCCGCUCCCCACACAGAAGAGACAAGAAGUUGGAGAUGUCCUUACUACAAUGAAGAGUGGACUAACCCCAAGAAGCUCAGUGCCCCGAAUCAACAGGAAUUAGUCUACAGAGGUCUAUGCCCCCUUCAUCCUCCAUCCUUUCUCUCUUGCCUAGUGUUGGGGGGGUGGGGUUGGAUUAGUUGGAGACCAGUGUGGAACAAGUGUUGGAAGGGA